rnacentral:rRNA from 1 species
GACGAACCGUGCGAACGUUGUUCGGAAUCACUGGGCUUAAAGGGCGCGUAGGCGGUUGAUCAAGUCUGGGGUGAAAUCUUUCGGCUUAACCGGAAAAGUGCCUUGGAUACUGGUCAGCUGGAGGGAGGUAGGGGCAGUUGGAACUUCCAGUGGAGCGGUGAAAUGCGUUGAUAUUGGAAGGAACGCCAGUGGCGAAAGCGAGCUGCUGGACCUCUUCUGACGCUGAUGCGCGAAAGCCAGGGGAGCAAACGGG